GCUCCGGUGGUUUAAGUGGUUAGAGCAUCUGCUUCAGAAUGGUAGAGAUCGCGGGUUCGAACCCCGGCCAAAUCA